GUCAGAAGGGUAAUACCAGGGCAGAAAUCACCAGACCACAGGCCCUGACUCUAAGAUGUGAGAUGCCACUAAGAAACCUGGUAACAGCUGAUAGGGGCUAAAAGGGUGAGCAGAAGCCCCAAAAUUUAGUAUAAAUGAUGGAACAAAUGAACAGACAUUCAGCCAGCCUAUACUGAUGCACACAUGCCUGAUGAGGACCUGGAUUGACAUCCCUACUCUUCUCAUCAUCUGCCUGGUCCUCGGCAUCAUCCUCACCACCCUCAAACUCUACAGCAGCCUCUUGACCCUGUUGAGAACGGUAACUUCUCUUUACAACUGUCUUCUCAGCCAGUCAUCAGCUCCCUACCAGAAUCUGAAGCCUCUAUCAGUUCCUGAGCUGGACGCUGCUGUCUGAAUUAGAGGGAAGCUAAGAAGAGUAGACAACAAGGGUUUGGAAGCAGAAAAUAGCCCAAAAAGUCGUUCUUCAGGGGAGAAGACAAGAAGGAGGGAUACCAGAGAGAAGCUGUUGAUAGCGGCCCCACAACAUCUCCAGAUCUAAGCAGGCCCCUCUUCUACAGAAAGUCAAUCAGCUUUCAGAGGACCUAGUAAGAGAGAAUGGCCUUUGAAAUGCCAGAACGGGGAAAACAGCUUGAGAAUGUUAUGAGGCAAGACAGACUGACAAGAAAGAUAUUUUCAUCUCCGCACACUUGGUGCCAACUCAGGGCAAAGUUAGCAAAACAGUGCGUGAUGUGCUGUAAAGUAAUACUGAAUGGAACAACAGGUGGACCUGCUGAAUGGAGCACACAAACAGCCACUUUUUAUUUCGCAUCCAUCAUUUUAUUAUGAUUUGCCUUAUUUCCAACAGAGGGAUCCUCAAGUGUUCUAGAUAACCCAGUUCAAUUUCAGGCAUCAGUGAAAAUAACAAUGAAUGGAUCUUACGUGACUAAAGAAAGCUCCUUCCUACUCUCUACCUUUAAUUUCCAUGAAAAUAA